GACGAACGCUGGCGGCGUGCCUAAUACAUGCAAGUAGGACGCAGUUGCGAACGGGUGAGUAACGCGUAGGUAACUCCCUCCUAGAGGGGGAUAACUAUUGUAAACGCUAGCUAAUACCGCAUACUAGUAGAUGGACCUGCGUGUUAUUAGCUAGUAGGUAGGGUAAGGGCCUACCUAGGCAACGAUACAUAGCCGACCUGAGAGGGGAAUCGGCCACACUGGGACUGAGACCGGGCCCAUACUACGGCGGGAGGCAGCAGUGGGGAAUAUUCGGCAAUGGGGGGAAGCCUGCCCGAGGAACGCCGCGUGGAUGAAGAAGGUUUUCGGAGCGUAAAGCUUUGUUGUGAAGGAAGCGGUAAUUAACCAGAAAGGGACGGCUAACUACGUGCCAGCAGCCGCGGUAAUAC
rnacentral:rRNA from 1 species